rnacentral:rRNA from 1 species
GACGAACGCUGGCGGCGUGCCUAAUACAUGCAAGUCGAACGCAGUGGGGACGGGUGAGUAAAACGUGGGUAACCUCCCCAUCAGAGGGGAUAACACUUGGAAACAGGUGCUAAACCGAUACCGGUGGAUGGACUCGCGGUGCAUUAACUAGUUGGUGAGGUAACGGCUCACCAAGGCCACGAUGCCUAGCCGACCUGAGAGGGUGAUCGGCCACACUGGGACUGAGACACGGCCCAGACUCCUACGGGAGGCAGCAGUAGGGAAUCUUGGGCAAUGGACGAAAGUCUGACCGAGCAACGCCGCGUGAGUGAAGAAGGUUUUCGGAUUGUAAAACUCUGUUGGUAGAGAAGCGGUAUCUAACCAGAAAGCCACGGCUAACUACGUGCCAGCAGCCGCGGUAAUAC